GGCUGACUGCCCCUGGGAAGGGAUCUUUGGUUGGAGAUUCCUCUUUGAUGAAGCUUUAUCCUGCAAACCUAGACUCUUCUGAAACAGCAUUCUCUGUACCUGGUGCUGGCAUUUGGGAUCGGCAGGAAUGAAACAGAACAAAACGAACCAACACUAUAUUUGCCACUCGGGAUGGCUGCAGUGGGAGCAUGGCACAACAUAUGGUCCCAAGGAGGAGUAUUUGGUUCAUUAGCAGAAGCCUGGGGUUGUAAAUUUGAACAGAGCUUAGCACUGAGGCCAGCAGAUAGCUGGUGUGUUUCCUACCCACCUCUUCUUGCUCUGAAGUUGGCCAUGCAGUGUGUGCACUCCUGUGUGCAAGCUGCCUCUGGUUGUUACCACUGCACUGAGAAAUUGGGUAGGGUUGGUCUGAGCACAAUUUGUGCGGCUCUGUUGAUAGGGGAACCGGGUACACCAAGAUGUGCAGCUGCACAUCUGCACUCCAUGGGCUCUCUUUUGGGGCUGACCUGACCCGGGAGGCCCCGUGGCUGCAGAGCUGAGCUCUCUCAGCUCUUCCUGCUCCAGGGAGAUGUUCAGGACACCCCAUCCCAUCCCAUGUCAUGGGGAGAUCUCCCGCUGACUGCAGUGGGAUACGAAGCAGGAGUUCACCCCCAGAAAUCAGAUUCCAGCUCAACAGAGAGCCCUGGUGUUUCCAUCCAAGCUUGCCUCAGCAGACAACUGUUAGUGAUGCCUCUUGAAAAGAGACAUCAGUAUCCUUCAGAAAACUUAUGUUUCACUUAGCCUAGUUAAAACCACUCUCCUUUAUGUCCUACUGCAAUCAUUUAAAACAAAGGAGCUCAUCAGCAGUUUAAUUCUCCAGGUCUCUACAUCACCGUGUCAGGGAAUGGGAAUAAGCUGGUAGGUUUUUUUUGUUGUUUAAACACCUAAAGAGUGUCAGAAAAGAUUAAGCAAUUGUUUUGUGAAUUCCUACAGAGGAAAGCACUCACUGAGGCAAGUGUCAGCCGGGCUGAUGUUGUUUGCUGCUGUAACAAAUGAACAGUGGCACCUAUCUGUGCCCUGGACCUGCUGCAGUCAAAAGCAAAGUGCCGCAGCAGCGAUGGGGCAUUUUCAUGUCUAUCCCCACUGCUGGAAAGCAUAGAAGUGAAAUGAGGUGAGGGCAGGUGUAGGUAUUACCCAUGUUUUGGCCACGUUUCAAGUGCGGCAGGAGAGGAUUUGUAAGGCUGCAGUAAUCAGGUGGUCAGCAGGGAAGGAGAUAAUGGACCAUGGAGCUGAUGGCCAGGGAAGCUUCUACGACCAGGCUGAGAAGUCCACACCAGCACACUGCCAGCAGAUUGCUUCCAACACACUGCCCACCACACCUCGUGUAUGAGAGUCACUAUUGCAAAACACAGAUACUGCCACUCGUCAGCACCGUCUGCAAUAGAACUGGAAAAGACACCAAGAAAGGCUGCAAGGAUGGGCUAAGGAUGGAGCAGCUUUACAGAAGCAGCAAGACACAAAUGGAGCAAGGACAGAAGUGAUAAGAUGUAAACACAACCCCUGGCCCAAAAUGUGCUCAAAUCAGCAGCUCCCCGCAUGCAUUUCAACCCAGCUCCUGGGAUCUACUCUCAAAACACCCAACUGGGAUGAGACUUGAGCACCCAAACACCUUUGGAUGAUUGGGUUGAGGUGUUUCUGACACUGCUAAGGGCUCCAUCACAUCACAUGAAGCCACAGACCUGCAGUGCUGCCGGGGCAGAGCUGAGCACCUUUCAGAGCUUGUCGUGUUACAUUUCUUUCAGAGAACAAAGCAGGGAAUUUCAGAUUUUAAUUUGUCACUUUACAUGUAAAUUAAAUGUUGUAUAUUG
rnacentral:lncRNA from 1 species